rnacentral:rRNA from 1 species
AACGAACGCUGGCGGCAGGCUUAACACAUGCAAGUCGAACGCAUCGCAAGAUGAGUGGCAGACGGGUGAGUAACGCGUGGGAACAUACCCUUUUCUACGGAAUAGCUCUGGGAAACUGGAAUUAAUACCGUAUACGCCCUACGGGGGAAAGAUUUAUCGGGGAAGGAUUGGCCCGCGGGGGAUUAGCUAGUUGGUGGGGUACAGGCCUACCAAGGCGACGAUCCAUAGCUGGGCUGAGAGGAGGAUCAGCCACAUUGGGACUGAGACACGGCCCAAACUCCUGCGGGAGGCAGCAGUGGGGAAUAGUGGACAAUGGGCGCAAGCCUGAUCCAGCCAUGCCGCGUGAGUGAUGAAGGCCUUAGGGUUGUAAAGCUCUUUCACCGAUGAAGAUAAUGACGGUAGUCGGAGAAGAAGCCCCGGCUAACUUCGUGCCAGCAGCCGCCGUAA